GUGAGUAACACGUAUCCAACCUUCCGUUUACUCAGGGAUAACCUUUCGAAAGAAAGAUUAAUACCUGAUAGUAUGGUGAGAUUGCAUGAUAGCACCAUUAAAGAUUUAUUGGUAAACGAUGGGGAUGCGUUCCAUUAGGUAGUAGGCGGGGUAACGGCCCACCUAGCCGACGAUGGAUAGGGGUUCUGAGAGGAAGGUCCCCCACAUUGGAACUGAGACACGGUCCAAACUCCUACGGGAGGCAGCAGUGAGGAAUAUUGGUCAAUGGGCGAGAGCCUGAACCAGCCAAGUAGCGUGAAGGAUGAAGGUCCUACGGAUUGUAAACUUCUUUUAUACGGGAAUAAAGUAUCCUACGUGUAGGAUUUUGUAUGUACCGUAUGAAUAAGCAUCGGCUAACUCCGUGCCAGCAGCCGCGGUAAUACGGAGGAUGCGAGCGUUAUCCGGAUUUAUUGGGUUUAAAGGGAGCGCAGACGGGAGAUUAAGUCAGUUGUGAAAGUUUGCGGCUCAACCGUAAAAUUGCAGUUGAUACUGGUUUCCUUGAGUGCAGUUGAGGCAGGCGGAAUUCGUGGUGUAGCGGUGAAAUGCUUAGAUAUCACGAAGAACCCCGAUUGCGAAGGCAGCUUGCUAAACUGUAACUG
rnacentral:rRNA from 1 species